CUGUGACAAAUAUACAAAAUACAAGUGAAGUUAGACGCGUUUCUUGUUCUCAACGUAAUUUGUCCUUCAAACUAUCUCGGAACCGGCAACGUUGGAGUUGAGGACACGCAUGCGCAAAUUAGGGAGCCGCACUGUAUCUUUAGCCGCACCUGCAGCGGGACUCCGUGCACUUUCGUUUCAAGCGAUGCGAUCGCAUUUAUGCAAAUUAGCAGAGUAUAGACGUAGUAGAAGAGGUGUUCCCAAAUUCCCAACAGACUACUAAAUUCCACACGGACGUAAGCAGUGAUUGGUCGUUAUCAUCUGAUUUUGACAUAGAUAGACAUAUGGAUUUGGAUGAAUUUUUGUGGUUAUGUAAGUAUAUUUUUUGUCUGUCUGAUUGACACUUUCUUGUUUUUGAAAAAUUUGUUCAAGAAUGGAAAUAUGAAGACGUGGAAAGAUAUGCAGAAAGUUGAGACAAGUUAUGUAAGGUCUAGAACAGUUCACACAAAGAAACAAGAUGAUUUAUACUAUGAGUAUAGUUUUUAAUCAAUUUCAUGCUAUGAGUGUAACAGAAAUAACAUAAUAAUAUGCAAGGAGUAUAGAUGCUAGGAGAGUAUAUUAUAUUCAUUGAUGUGGAUAUAAGCCCAACUAUAAAAUAAUUAGGACAGAGAAACCUGUUCCAUUCAUUGUCCCUCCAGACUGAUUUGCAAACUGUGAGAUCAAGGACAGCUUUCUAUCAGUUAUGUAUUGGAAAACACAUGCUGAACCAUGCAUCUGUAAAAACUACAAGAAAAAAAUGGUUGUAGAGAAAUUAAUGAGGUGCCACCCAAUAAAAUUUCAUGAGAUUCAAGAAUGUGAAGAUACAUGAGCAAUUUCAGAUGAUGCUGCAAGGUGUUUGGGAGAAAAUAAAAAGAGAAACUGAGUAAACAUUGAAUUUGAUAUUAAGAUAGUUUUUUAGCUCACAAAUGUUUUUUGUUUUGUAUCUGUAUUAAAUUUUUAUUAUACAGUAGGUACUUAGCACCCCAAUUAUCCGUGCUCCUCGUGAUCGGAAGUGGCACGGAUAAUUGAAAAGCACAGAUGAUCCAAUCAUUAAUUUCUUAUACAGUGAGCACGUAAAGGUUGGAAUAAAUUCAUUUUCUCGAGAAUGGAUGACUUUUGAAAAAAAUCCCAAAACAGGUCAAUUUUUAAUUUUAAAUUACGACUUUUUGGCAUAUAUAUAAUACUAGUGACGUCACCCAUCUGGGCGUGAUGACGUCAUCGAUGAUUUUUUUAAAUGAGACUAGUAGUCGUGUGAUAGCUCAUUUGAAAGGUAAUUCAAUUCUCUAUUCAGUAAUAUAAACAUUAACAUAAUUAUUUAUACAGGGUGUCCAAAAAAUUUUUUUUGUAUUAAAUUUAUUGACAUAAAAAGAAGAAUGUAUGUAAUUUAUUUAUUUCAAAAUACAUUUUACUGCUCGCAGAAAACAGGAAAAAAUGUAUAUUUGAAAAAUAAUCAUUGCUUUUUGCUUAAAUUAAAUGUUCAAAUUGUCACGAGGCUGGUGGGUACCUGCUUUAAUAUUGAAUUUAAGCCAAAAACAAUAUUUAUUUGCCAAAAACACAUUUUUUCCUGUUUUAUGAUAGCAGUAAAAUGUAUUUUGAAUUAAAUAAAUUACACUCAUUCUUCUUUUUAUGUCAAUAAAUUUAAUUCAAAAAAAUUUUUUUUGGGCACCCUGUAUAAAUAAUUAUGUUAAUGUUUAUAUUACUGAAUAAAGAAUUGAAUUACCUUUCAAAUGAGCUAUCACACGACCCCUAUUCUCAUUUAAAAAAAACAUCGAUGACGUCAUCACGCCCAGAUGGGUGACGUAACUAGUAUGACAUAUAUGCCAAAAAGUCUUAAUUUAAAAAUAAAAAUUGACCUGUUUCGGGAUUUUUUCCCAAAAUCGUCCGUUCUUGAGAAAAUGAAUUUAUUCCAACCUUUACGUGCUCACUGUAUAUGAUUCAUAUAAGAAUAUUUCAUAAGAAUUUCUUAUGCAUGAUAUGUACUUACCUAUCAUAAAAAAAUAACAGAAAAAAUAAAUCUUUCAUUAUGAGUCUCCUUUUCUGCAUAUAGAGUUUCUGUCGAGUGAUUAAAGUGAUGCUAUUUUGAUAAAACCUUAAAAAUUCAAUUUGAGUAAUAGAAAAUCAUAGCACGGAUAAUCCGCAGCCCGGAUAAUCUGCACACGGAUCGGGGUUCUACUGUAGUUGUAUAGGCUAAUUUACAAGAAUGUUAGUUUGUUUUUAUAGAUUUUACUUGAUUCAUAAAUAUUGUGAAAUUUCUUAUAAGAUUAUAUUUACAUAUAUACGCAUACUUAAUUUAGGUCUGAAUUUUAAAGAAUUGUUAAGUAAUGAUGUUAUUUUAUAGACAACAUUAUAAUAUACUAGAGUUGUACUUUAAAAAUCAAAAUAUUACUGGGUCCCAGGCGGGGUUUAGAGGGGUUUUACCUUCGCCAUUGCACCAAUAAGAGCCUCCCCUCCUUUGAUUUCCGAGAUUUUUAAUAAAGAAUAAAAAAUUUUAAACAUUA
rnacentral:lncRNA from 1 species